AAGUGGAAACUCGGAAGAAAAGUCUGUGGACUGCCAGUACCACAACGGAGGCAAGAGCCGAUGAAAGCUUUGGGGCCUUCCGUAUGGGCGGCUACCUGUGAGGAGCCGCAGCACAUCCCUUAAUAUGAGAACCUGGUGUAUGGACACUGCUUCUGUUUGGACUGAAAACAGACUUCCCUGAGGGCUGUUACACCUUUAGCUGACACUAAUUUUAGUACAGCUCUGGGAUGCUGGCGGCCAGGGGAGAAGGACUGGAAGGGAAGAAUGUGGAAGGAGAGCAGAGAUCUCAGAAAUAACCCAGCGCUCACAGGUUAAAUAAAAGAGACAACUGAAUUGAGGAGCAGCUUGGUGCUUUCACCUGGAGGAAGAGGGGGAGCAGGAGCUCAGCCCUUUCUGGACACCAGAGGACAACAGCCAUGUCCUGAUGGCCAGGAUGGCAUCAAUCAACUCUUGCCAUCAACCAACUCAGUCAACCAUGAGUCCGACAUGUGGGACAACCCUAGUUCCAUUCACUGCUGUAUUCUCUAAACCCUGUGCUCUCUUUCACCCUCUUCCAAAAUAAGAGCAAGGGUUAUUGAAAUCAAGUGAUUGUGAGGAAAAGGGGGCUUUUCAAAACCCUUUCAUACCUACUGGGCUCUCUGAUGUCCUCUUAAUAUACAGCAGUAAGUGAUUUAUAGCCCUCCUGACGUGAUGGUUUGGUGUUUCCUUUGUGUGCAUAACUUCCUUUUGAUAUAAGGGGAUGAUAACAAACCCAAAUUGUAAUCUCAUAAGCACAUGACACAUUGUCUUUGUGGUGCAGAUAGCAGGAAAAUGCUCUGAUCUUGAGUUCAGAGCUUCACCCCCCCCAAAUUUCACCCUGGUGACAGAAUGGCAUCAGCAGGCUCAGUGAGACAGCAGUGUUGGCAGGAGGGUUUCCUUCAGACCUGGUGAUUCUGGCUGAUAUUUGUUGGGAGUCCUCCUGGAGCUGAGUCCCUGGUGUGGACUGAACAAGAGAUGGGCGCACAGUUGCUUCUUGAACUUCUUUCACAUCUUUUGGAUGAGUGCCUGGGAGGAAGAACUGGUGCAAAGCCUUCACGUAGUACUGUGGGCUCCCCAGCAGAGCUUUGCUGCUGGCCCCUCCCAAUUCAGCGUGCGCCCUGUCCCAUCGCAUCGAAGGACGAGCAUGCACAAACUCUACUGCUGUCACAGAUGUGCCAGUAACCUAGGGGGCUAGUCCUAAAGCUGGGCUACUUUUGGCACCAGGGAAGGGCUGCCCUCCCCUCAAGGUGCCUUUCCACCCUUGGGAGCUUCCUGCAUUUAUGGUGCAGCUGUUUCCAGGUUCUCAUGGGAGCCGAAUGAACAGAUGCCAAAUAAUCUGUCUUCAGGGAGCACAAAAAUGGAUGGAUGAGGGAAAGACCUUGGAGCUGUGCACACCUUCUUCUCCCCUCCUGGGGGAGUAUUUGAAUUAGGCCUGAACCCCUCAGGAGCUUGACUGUAAGAAAGUCGCCUUCCUAUUCCCAAAGUUCACUCCAAAACCGCCUUUCUCCUUUUGUCACACAGCUAAUGGGAGACCAUCCCUUCUGUGUCUCCUGCACUGCGAGGCUCUUUGGUCAGCCUCAGCAGGUGACGGGAUGGACCAGUGUCUACUUAUGUUGGCACAGGGCAAAACCAGUAUUCAUGGCUUGACUUGCUUUUCUCACCAAGCAUCCUGCCCUGCUCAGAGGGCCCUGGUUAAAUGCCUGAGCAGCUCUAGCAGCAGGUUUACCCAGCUGUGACAGGUACCCCCACAGGUAUUGAUCAGAAAAGGCUUCCAGAGAUAAAUUAAGCUUUUGAAAUACAACAGCGAGCUAGUGGCUGGGUCCCACAUUGAGAGGCUUAUGGUGCAUGGGGCCAAUGAGUCGAUCAAGUGCCAUAUGUACCCUGCAUGUCUUCUCCUUAACUGAGCCCUGCUCAGUGACACUGACCCACGCAGUCCCUUACAGAUGCUCAACAAUAUUUAAUUUCAAAGGGUAACAAUUCACCCUCUUCUCCAGGCAGCUAUUUUUCCUUGUGUCAAUGUCCUCAGAGCAACUCCAGCUAGGCAAAUAUAGCACAUGGCUUAUGAGAGCACUGGAAGGACUUAGAGGUGGGGAGCUAAGGCUACAGAAAGUUCAUGGUUAACCCAAUAUGCUGUGGGAUGGCUCUCACAGGGCUAAAGCCACAGGACACACCGAGGAGACGGGGAGGAGAGGUCAGCGGUCCUGCAGAGGACCAGCCAUACCUCGGCCAGCCAUCCUCCGAGACGCUUGCAUCGCUGCUCCCAAGAAUUCCCAUGAAAAAUAAUCACACGCUCCUUUUAUGUCCUUGUAAUCACAAACAUGUUAUGCUUCCCUGCCCACUUCUAAAGAGAAAAGUCA